GACGAACGCUGGCGGCGUGCUUAACACAUGCAAGUCGAACGGAAAGGCCUGCUUUCCCUUGUGGAUUGCGGGUGCUCGCGUGGCGAACGGGUGAGUAACACGUGAGUGAUCUGCCCCCAACUUGGGUAUAAGCCUGGGAAACUGGGUCUAAUUCCCGAUAGGACUGCAGGGUGGUGCCUGUGGUGGAAAACGAUUUUCUAGUGGUUGGGGAUGAGCUCGCGGCCUAUCAGCUUGUUGGUGGGGUAAUGGCCUACCAAGGCGGCGACGGGUAGCCGGCCUGGGAGCGGGGACAGCCACAUUGGGACUGGGACACGGCCCAGACGCGUACGGGAGGCAGCAGAUGGGAAGAUAGCGGAAUGAGCGGAAGCCUGAUGCAGCGACGGAGUGUGGGGGAUGUCGGGCUUCGGAUAGUAAGCUACUAUCGACCGAGAGGAAGCUACCUGGUUGGAAGGGUGGUGACGGUAGUGGUAGAAGAAGCACCGGCUAACUACGUG
rnacentral:rRNA from 1 species